CGGGAGCGGCUCGAGGACGAACUCCUCCAAGAGCAGGAAUCCUAUUGGCCAUGCGAUGGCCGAUGGGGGCGAACACCGCCGCUGCAUCGACAUGCGACGACCGGGGGGCACUGAUGCUACCACGUCCCUGACGAGCGGGCUGCCAUAGGGGUGGGCAAUGGCACAAGAAGCCUACAGCGACGACAACUGCAAGAUUUCUAAGCUGGUCCUGCCAUUGAAGAUUCUCUGCCUGCGUCAAAUCAUGUGAGUCUCUGGUGGGUUGUGUUUCUUUUAUUUUGUUGAAUUUCUGCUUAAUUUCUUAUGAUUUUUUGUGUUGCCCAGUGUGUUCUUUGGAGAUCUUUACCUCCCAAAUCCUUCCCUGGUUGAAGGAUUG
rnacentral:lncRNA from 1 species